rnacentral:rRNA from 1 species
AACGAACGCUGGCGGUAUGCCUAACACAUGCAAGUCGCACGAGAAAGUACUUCGGUAUGAGUAGAGUGGCGCACGGGUGAGUAACACGUAGGUGACCUUCCGAAUAGUGGGGGAUAACUCGGAGAAAUCCGGGCUAAUACCGCAUAUGUACGACAAAUCUGAGAGUAGUCGUAGAAAGAAUGCCUCUACUUGUAAGCAUUCGCUAAUCGAUGGGCCUGCGGAGCAUUAGCUAGUUGGUGGGGUAAGUGGCCUACCAAGGCUACGAUGCUUAACGGAUCUGAGAGGAUGAUCCGUCACACUGGAACUGAGACACGGUCCAGACUCCUACGGGAGGCAGCAGUGGGGAAUAUUGCGCAAUGGACGCAAGUCUGACGCAGCAAUACCGCGUGAGUGA